UAUUAAUUAAGCCAUGCAAUCACACCUAUCAUUAUCACUCUGAAUCAUCGUCCAUUUAAUAUGUAUGGGAAAUUUUAUUUAUUAGGCUUGAAAGACUACCCAAUAACAACCCUUGUAUAAUACUAUACCAAUCUAUACUUAUGUUUUCCCUUUAUACUUGUUUUCACUCUUCUCAUAAUCAAUCCCCCUACUAACUCUUUCUCACUUUCUCUUCUCUCUUGACAGGUUCACUCUUUUGUUUCUCCUUAACCAAACUAAACCAACACCAAAUAACACCAUCACCAUCCCCGGACCGUUGCUGUCGUCAAUCAACCAUCGCAAGGUCAGCAUCGUCCCACAACCAAAACCACUAUCGAAGGUCGGACCGUGCCACCCAAUGUAAUGGAUCAAACACACUGUUUUUGGCAGGUAUCAAGACCAAAUACAUGAUCAGACACGUUUUUGGUAAGUUUCCUUUUCUGGUCUGGUUUUCUGCAGCAGAACAUGUCUCUAAUGCUGCAAAUCAGGAUUUUCUUUAGAAAAGUUUUGUACAGCUAUAGAUUCGACUUUGUGGCUAUCUCUAGGAUUUUUAUGAUCUAUAAAUGAAACCUAGAGAGCAACCAUUCAAAUUAUCUCUUCUAGUUUUCAUUUUUGCAUUUUCUUAUUUGUUGAGAGAGGGGUCUUUUUGUGAGAACCUAGUUGUUCAUCUAGGUUCUAGUGUUUAUAUAUUUGUUCUUAUACUGGUCUUACGGUUGGUUAGAACAUCUUGAUUGAACAAGAGAAAGGUCAUCGGGAGAAGACUUGUUCAAGCCUUACUUCAGGAAGAAGUAAGCACACACACCUCAAAGACGAAGGGAGUUCGCUGUUUGAUGAUAGUUCAAAAAUCAGAUUCGUGAAGUGUGUUACAAAGGGUUGUGGCAAAGAUUUAGAGGGAGCCUAAACUUGUAUAAGUCAAUUGUCUUAGUAAUUUUUAAAACUUUACUAAUUGAUUUCUUUCUCUGGGUAUGGCCCCGUGGACUAGGAGUGUUCAAAGAACAGUGAUACCACGUACAAAUCUGUUGUGUCAAGUGAUUUAAUAUUCUACAAUUAUUUUUUAUAUUCUGCCA